rnacentral:rRNA from 1 species
AUUAAGCAUAUCAAUAAGCGGAGGAAAAAGAAACCAACAGGGAUUGCCUCAGUAACGGCGAGUGAAGCGGCAACAGCUCAAAUUUGAAAUCUGGCCCUUUCAGGGUCCGAGUUGUAAUUUGUAGAGGAUGUUUCGGGUGUGGCUCCGGUCUAAGUUCCUUGGAACAGGACGUCAUAGAGGGUGAGAAUCCCGUAUGUGACUGGUAGCCUAUGCUCAUGUGAAACUCCUUCGACGAGUCGAGUUGUUUGGGAAUGCAGCUCAAAAUGGGUGGUAAAUUUCAUCUAAAGCUAAAUAUUGGCCAGAGACCGAUAGCGCACAAGUAGAGUGAUCGAAAGAUGAAAAGCACUUUGGAAAGAGAGUUAAACAGUACGUGAAAUUGUUGAAAGGGAAGCGCUUGCAACCAGACUUGCAUGUAGCUGAUCAACCGGUGUUCUCACCGGUGCACUCAGUUGCGUUCAGGCCAGCAUCGGUUUCGACGGUUGGAUAAAGGCCUUGGGAAUGUAGCUUCUUUCGGGGAGUGUUAUAGCCCAGGGUGCAAUGCAGCCUGUUGGGACCGAGGACCGCGCUUCGGCUAGGAUGCUGGCGUAAUGGUUGUAAGCGACCCGUCUUGAAACACGGACCAAGGAGUCUAACAUCUAUGCGAGUGUUUGGGUGUCAAACCCAUACGCGUAAUGAAAGUGAACGGAGGUGAGAACCCUUAAGGGUGCAUCAUCGACCGAUCCUGAUGUCUUCGGAUGGAUUUGAGUAAGAGCAUAGCUGUUGGGACCCGAAAGAUGGUGAACUAUGCCUGAAUAGGGUGAAGCCAGAGGAAACUCUGGUGGAGGCUCGCAGCGGUUCUGACGUGCAAAUCGAUCGUCAAAUUUGGGUAUAGGGGGCGAAAGACUAAUCGAACCAUCUAGUAGCUGGGUUCCUGCCGAAGU